GCUAAACAGUUUCUCUUUAUGGUGUUUGAUUACUCGAAAAAUGGUCACUGUGGCCUUCUUCCUCUUCCUCUUCCUCUUCCUCUUCCCCUUCUUCAUGUCUGUUUCAGUUCUACCCAAAAAAAGUUCAUGUCUGUUUCAGAUCUCUUCUUUUUUCUCUGGAAAAGUAGUGCUAUCUUUCAUUUUGUUUUUCCCUUUCUAUGGUUUCUUCUGUUUUUGAUUAGGGUUAGGUGCCUGUUUUCAAGUUUCUUUCUUUAAAGCUGCCUGUUUUUCUCCCUUUCUCUCUCUAUUUUGGAUUUUCUGGCUUAAGAUGAGAGAACUGAUUUAUCAUUUGCAUUUCCAUUUCCAUUUGUUUAACUUCAAAAAUAGUUCUUUUCUUCCCUCUCUUUCUGAUUUCUUUUUUGGCUGUAAUUAGUAAGGAAGUGCAGUUUGAGAGAGAGAGAGAGAGAGAGAGAGAGAGAGAGAGAGAGAUUGAAGGUUCUUGGUUCUGAUUCUGUGAGUUUGGGGAUUUCAUCUAUGAGAAAGAGAGUUAUGUAGAGCUUUGUAUGAGUAUUGUUUGACAACGAGAGAGAGCACGCUUGUCGGCAUUCAUGCAAGGUUCACGAUUGUUCUACGUGCGUGCUCUUCCUCUCGAUGUCAUGCUGUUAGCUCACCAAAGCUGUCUGUCCCUUUCCUUCCCCAUUUAUGCCUUCUGCAUGGUGUCUCUUCCAACGUGUAAUAUCGAUCUGUGGAGAGAGGAUUUCAUUUCACAUGAAGGAUUUAGUGACAAAGAGGAUUAUUGGAAGUGGAUGUGAGGAGAAGGGGCUCUAUCGACUUGGACCUCAAUCAUCUUUUUCUUUCCCACAAUUUAGUCUUGUGUGUGGACGUAGUGAUAAUAGUUCUAUGAUUCUGUGAUGUUUCGGCAUCAACAUCUUGGUAGCCCUUCUUUUGUUGAGGAAAAGAGGAGUCUAACCAAGCAGUGCCGAGGAGUGAAUGACAUUAGCAACUUUCAAACACCCUCAACAAAGAAAUGAAGGUGAAAACCAGAAUUUAAGAUUGAGAGGGGUGAGCUUGCCCCAAGGCUUGUUCACGAUGGACCAAAGCAUGUCCAGCCAAAUGGAUGGUGUUUAAUCAGAUGAACAACCCUCCAUAGGUUCUACCUUUGUGUUGCACUUCGGGAUAAGAUGUAUUUUUUAUAGAAUCAUUAGAGAGGGUACUGGUGUCAAAUCUUAGUAAAAAUGGAGUGAAAGUUAAUCAUUGCAUAGAGGAGAUAACUGGUAGAAUGGUUUCACGUUCUCCAUUUCUGGGGGCAUACAGAUGAUCGUGAGCUAUUCCGGUUGAUUGGCUUUUUUCCUUUCCUAGCUGGAUUAUGCGGACAUCUUCAUGUGUUGAUUUGGCUGGUGAAUGGUUGAUUGUGAACUCCUGAUCAUCAUUUAUUCAUCUGGUUUAGAGGAAGAGAUGUCUGGUUCUUAUGUGGUGAGAGAGGUCGGUAAACCACCUGCAGUUCCAUUACAAUUACUUCUCAUAUAUAGUACUUCAAUAUUCUUUUCAAAACUAUGGUUUAUGAGCAGGUUGGAUGGUGAAAGGUCCCAGCUCCCGGUGUGCAUCUUCUAAAAUUAGUUCCUAUCUGUUGCUACCAGUUGAAUCAUAUGGAAACAGUGACUAAUUCUUUCCAAAGUCAGCUUGGUUGAUCUAGUGAUUUGGAAGAGGAGGGAAGGCCUAUUAGUGGUAAACCUUGUGAUAUUGUAGGUAAGGUGGUUUUUUAUGUAGCAAUUCACCAUAUUUGGUGGGAAAGAAAUAAAAGAAGAUGGACUUCAUCUUCACGUUAUAUUGAUCAAAUAUGGAAUGUCAUCACCUUUGAAGUGAGGAAUAAAAUCCUUUAUAGGUGUGCCAGGUGUCCAGAUUCUUUUAGAAAUAGGCACCUUGCUUUGGCUUGAGAUCUUCCACUUGUCUCCCCUUCCCCUAACUUUGAUGAAGCCUCUUUUAUUUUAUUUCUCCCCUCCCCCUUCUUUUAGUGUACCAUUCUUUUCUUGGUAUUUAAUUUGCCCACAUCCCUAGUUUUUCUUGUAUCCCCCCUUAAUGGUUGUUUUGUCCACUCCCCUUCUUCAUUUGUUUGAG